rnacentral:rRNA from 1 species
GGCCAUCUGAAGGGACUGUUCUGGUGUGAUAGUCAAUCCCGACUUGACUACGAGGCUUUCGGAGACGUUAUUGUUUUUGAUAGCACAUACAGAACCAAUAAGUACAAUCUGCCAUUUGUGCCGUUUGUCGGGUUGAAUCACCACCGCAGCACCGUUAUUUUUGCAUGUGGUAUCAUUUCACAUGAAACAAGCCAGGCAUACGAGUGGAUGUUACGGACCUUUUCUGAUGCUAUGGGACAGAAGCAUCCUAUAUCUGUGAUCACAGAUGGGGACCUUGCAAUGCAGAGAGCAAUCAGGGUGGUGUGGCCUGACUCAAACCAUAGGCUCUGUAUAUGGCACAUUCAGCAGAACAUUGUACGCCAUCUGCAUGAUGACGCGGUAAAGGAGGAAUUCCGAUCUUUCAUAUAUGAUACAUCUUCCAUUGAAGAGCAUGAGAGAAAAUGGUUACACUUCUUACAACGGAAUAAAGUAACAAGUCAGGACUCCUGGCUGCAUCAGAUGUAUAAGAUGAGAAAACUGUGGUGUGCUCCAUAUCUUGAGGGUCGUUGUUUUCUAGGAUUGAGCAGCAAUCAGCGGAGUGAGAGUUUAAACUCGGUGCUACAUAAGCAUCUUGAGGCUAAGAUGAUGUUGUUUCCAAUGCUAGAGAACUAUGAGCGUUGCCUUGCGUCGCGACGCUUGAACGAGGCUCUCCAAGAUGUCGAGGCCUUACAGUCUAUUCCGUUCACAAAGGAAAAUGGUUCAGUUCUUGAGAAACACGUCGCGGAAGUUUUCACUCCUGCUGUGUUUAAGUUGGUCUUAUGGAGCAUAGAUGCUGUCAAAAAAUGUGAGAUCAGAGAGGUACUUGAUGCAGCAGAGGUUACCACAUACGUUUUGUCUAAGAAGGAAAGAAUGGAUAAAAAGAUCAAAGUGCGCAUGGAGUCGAAGGAAGGUAUGCUUCGCAGUAUCAGUUGUUCUUGCCGCAAAUUGGAAUGCGCAGGCACACCAUGUUCCCACAUAUUUUACAUAUUGGGAAUUUCACAAGAAGAAACACUGCCCAGGUGUUGUGUUCCCACUAGGUGGACAAUGAGUGCAAAAUGUGCAUUCGCACCGACCAGAAAGAGCGAGAUGUAUGCAUACUCUGCAGCCCUACAAAGGUACCGUAAGCUAAGGAAUUUUAGUCACGCAGCAUGUUUCAAGGCAUGCCACUCUGAUGAGGCGUUUCAGCAUCUAAAAAGGGUUUUGGAAGGACAAGAUGUUUGGAAGGGAUCAACAAGUGAACAAGCUGAUAGCAAGGGAUCAACUAAUGCUCAGGGUAACAACAUUAGGUUUGGCCCGUUGAUGCCACAAUCGACUAACCUUGAUGGUGAAGGUUUCGAAAAGGUUCUGGAUCCCGUGCAUGUGCCAGGCCAAGGUGCUCCGAAGAAAAGGCUACGGGCAAAGAUGAAGAAAACCAGAACAAAGGGUAGAUGUAGCUAUUGUCGUGAGGCAGAUGGUGACAAUCGACGUACGUGCGCCAAGUUGAUAGAGGUACCUAAUAUGCCGUAA